rnacentral:rRNA from 1 species
UACGAAGGGGGCAAGCGUUGUUCGGAAUUACUGGGCGUAAAGGGCGCGCAGGCGGCCUGUCAAGUCAGAUGUGAAAGCCCCGGGCUCAACCUGGGAAUAGCAUUUGGGACUGGCAGGCUAGAGUUCGGGAGAGGAGAGUGGAAUUCCCAGUGUAGAGGUGAAAUUCGUAGAUAUUGGGAAGAACACCGGUGGCGAAGGCGGCUCUCUGGACCGAUACUGACGCUGAGGCGCGAAAGCGUGGGGAGCAAACAGG